rnacentral:rRNA from 1 species
UUAAGCGACUAAGCGUACACGGUGGAUGCCCUGGCAGUCAGAGGCGAUGAAGGACGUGCUAAUCUGCGAAAAGCGUCGGUAAGGUGAUAUGAACCGUUAUAGCCGGCGAUGUCCGAAUGGGGAAACCCAGUGCAAUUCGUUGCACUAUCGUUAACUGAAUACAUAGGUUAACGAGGCGAACCGGGGGAACUGAAACAUCUAAGUACCCCGAGGAAAAGAAAUCAACCGAGAUUCCCCCAGUAGCGGCGAGCGAACGGGGAGCAGCCCAGAGUCUGAAUCAGCUUGUGUGUUAGUGGAACGGUCUGGAAAGUCCGACGGUACAGGGUGAUAGUCCCGUACACCAAAAUGCACAGGCUGUGAACUCGAAGAGUAGGGCGGGACACGUGGUAUCCUGUCUGAAUAUGGGGGGACCAUCCUCCAAGGCUAAAUACUCCUGACUGACCGAUAGUGAACCAGUACCGUGAGGGAAAGGCGAAAAGAACCCCGGCGAGGGGAGUGAAAAAGAACCUGAAACCGUGUACGUACAAGCAGUGGGAGCACCUUUAUGGUGUGACUGCGUACCUUUUGUAUAAUGGGUCAGCGACUUAUAUUCUGUAGCAAGGUUAACCGUAUAGGGGAGCCGCAGGGAAACCGAGUCUUAACUGGGCGUUAAGUUGCAGGGUAUAGACCCGAAACCCGGUGAUCUAGCCAUGGGCAGGUUGAAGGUUGGGUAACACUAACUGGAGGACCGAACCGACUAAUGUUGAAAAAUUAGCGGAUGACUUGUGGCUGGGGGUGAAAGGCCAAUCAAACCGGGAGAUAGCUGGUUCUCCCCGAAAGCUAUUUAGGUAGCGCCUCGUGAAUUCAUCUUCGGGGGUAGAGCACUGUUUCGGCUAGGGGGUCAUCCCGACUUACCAACCCGAUGCAAACUACGAAUACCGAAGAAUGUUAUCACGGGAGACACACGGCGGGUGCUAACGUCCGUCGUGAAGAGGGAAACAACCCAGACCGCCAGCUAAGGUCCCAAAGUCAUGGUUAAGUGGGAAACGAUGUGGGAAGGCACAGACAGCCAGGAUGUUGGCUUAGAAGCAGCCAUCAUUUAAAGAAAGCGUAAUAGCUCACUGGUCGAGUCGGCCUGCGCGGAAGAUGUAACGGGGCUAAACCAUGCACCGAAGCUGCGGCAGCGACACUAUGUGUUGUUGGGUAGGGGAGCGUUCUGUAAGCCUGCGAAGGUGGCCUGUGAGGGUUGCUGGAGGUAUCAGAAGUGCGAAUGCUGACAUAAGUAACGAUAAAGCGGGUGAAAAGCCCGCUCGCCGGAAGACCAAGGGUUCCUGUCCAACGUUAAUCGGGGCAGGGUGAGUCGACCCCUAAGGCGAGGCCGAAAGGCGUAGUCGAUGGGAAACAGGUUAAUAUUCCUGUACUUGGUGUUACUGCGAAGGGGGGACGGAGAAGGCUAUGUUAGCCGGGCGACGGUUGUCCCGGUUUAAGCAUGUAGGCUGGUUAUCCAGGCAAAUCCGGAUAAUCAAGGCUGAGGUGUGAUGACGAGGCACUACGGUGCUGAAGUAACAAAUGCCCUGCUUCCAGGAAAAGCCUCUAAGCAUCAGGUAACAUCAAAUCGUACCCCAAACCGACACAGGUGGUCAGGUAGAGAAUACCAAGGCGCUUGAGAGAACUCGGGUGAAGGAACUAGGCAAAAUGGUGCCGUAACUUCGGGAGAAGGCACGCUGGUGUGUAGGUGAAGUCCCUGCGGAUGGAGCUGAGACCAGUCGAAGAUACCAGCUGGCUGCAACUGUUUAUUAAAAACACAGCACUGUGCAAACACGAAAGUGGACGUAUACGGUGUGACGCCUGCCCGGUGCCGGAAGGUUAAUUGAUGGGGUUAUCCGUAAGGAGAAGCUCUUGAUCGAAGCCCCGGUAAACGGCGGCCGUAACUAUAACGGUCCUAAGGUAGCGAAAUUCCUUGUCGGGUAAGUUCCGACCUGCACGAAUGGCGUAAUGAUGGCCAGGCUGUCUCCACCCGAGACUCAGUGAAAUUGAACUCGCUGUGAAGAUGCAGUGUACCCGCGGCAAGACGGAAAGACCCCGUGAACCUUUACUAUAGCUUGACACUGAACAUUGAGCCUUGAUGUGUAGGAUAGGUGGGAGGCUUUGAAGCGUGGACGCCAGUCUGCGUGGAGCCAACCUUGAAAUACCACCCUUUAAUGUUUGAUGUUCUAACGUUGGCCCCUUAUCGGGGUUGCGGACAGUGUCUGGUGGGUAGUUUGACUGGGGCGGUCUCCUCCCAAAGCGUAACGGAGGAGCACGAAGGUUAGCUAAUCCUGGUCGGACAUCAGGAGGUUAGUGCAAUGGCAUAAGCUAGCUUGACUGCGAGCGUGACGGCGCGAGCAGGUGCGAAAGCAGGUCAUAGUGAUCCGGUGGUUCUGAAUGGAAGGGCCAUCGCUCAACGGAUAAAAGGUACUCCGGGGAUAACAGGCUGAUACCGCCCAAGAGUUCAUAUCGACGGCGGUGUUUGGCACCUCGAUGUCGGCUCAUCACAUCCUGGGGCUGAAGUAGGUCCCAAGGGUAUGGCUGUUCGCCAUUUAAAGUGGUACGCGAGCUGGGUUUAGAACGUCGUGAGACAGUUCGGUCCCUAUCUGCCGUGGGCGCUGGAGAAUUGAGGGGGGCUGCUCCUAGUACGAGAGGACCGGAGUGGACGCAUCACUGGUGUUCGGGUUGUCAUGCCAAUGGCACUGCCCGGUAGCUAAAUGCGGAAGAGAUAAGUGCUGAAAGCAUCUAAGCACGAAACUUGCCCCGAGAUGAGUUCUCCCUGAGACUUUAAGUCUCCUGAAGGAACGUUGAAGACGACGACGUUGAUAGGCCGGGUGUGUAAGCGCAGCGAUGCGUUGAGCUAACCGGUACUAAUGAACCGUGAGGCUUAACCUU